UUAAAACAUUGGUAACAAAUUCAAAUGUUUCUGAAACAUGGUGCUGGGCAAACAAACAAGCCCGUGGGCCAGGAGCGGCCCGCGGCGAGGGGCUCCAACCUUGGGCUGCAGGCACGUGGAGAGGGCGGCUCAUCAGCCAGAGGGAGGCUCCAGGGAGAAACCGUUUGAGCACCAAGCUGAUGACUAGCAAGAGGAGCCAGCAGAGAAGAGCGGGGUACAGUGUUCCAGGAAAAGGGACAAGAAUCAAAUAAUGGCCUCGGUUGUUAUGGUCAGUGCCCCACCCCACCGGCUGGGGUGCCAAGAAGGCCUGCGCGCCUCCCUGGGAACCUGUGCCUCCAGCCCCGGCUGCACAGAAAGGACAGCCCAUCCCCAGGCCCCUAGCUCACUCCUGCCUCCGCCUGGCCCCCACACAGGAAUGAUAAAGGGGAGGAGGAAGCAGGGCCCCCUUCGCCAGGCCUGGGCUGGGGCCAGGGACGGCUGGGUUCAGCUCCCCAGGGCCAGGACAAGAGUGAGGCCUGCUGGGUGGAGAUGGAACCUGGCUAUGGUGGUGGCGACGUGCGGGGCAGGCCUGUAGCUCCCAGACGCCCCCUUCCUGACCCAGCCCAUCCCUGUUGGGAGGCAGCCUCCUCUUUCAUUGGGAGCCCGGCGGGGGCAGCCCAGGAGACAGGAGCACGGGAGGUUCAAAGAGGGACGUGCCCUCCGCAGCACACUCCCUGGAUGGCCCGGCUCCAGCGGGUGUGUGCCCAGCUGGUUGUUCUGUCUUUUGUGUUGAACGGAGCUCUGUUUUCUGAGGGGGUGGGGAAUUACUGGAAGGCUUUGUGCGAGAGCGGACAGAGGAGGGCUCUCCCAGGUUGGCCCAGCUCAGGCUGCAGAGACCCUGAGCUCCUGACCAAGCCUGCAACCCUGAAUCCAUCCUGCACCCAGCAUCUCGGCUCUGCCAGAUGAGGAAACUGAGGCUCAGAGAGCUACGCCAGUUCCUAAAGGAGAAGAGUGAGAAAAGACAGUGCACGUGGAGAGAAUCGUGUACAAAUAGCACAAGGACACGAGGGUGACUUGGACAUGACCCUGGAGUGGCUGCAGGGGUCUCGCUCCCUGCCGGAGGGGCUGCCAGCCCACAGAGGAGGCAGAGCCACAGAGCCGUGGAGAGCCUGCGCCGAGUGCCCCCAAGGCCCUGCUCCUGGACCUGCCGCUCCGUGAGACCCGGAGCGCCCGCUGCUUCAGCCCGCUGCAGUGGGGCCCCUGCGUCUCAGGCUGAAGGCAGCCCGUGCUGCGGCCAGAAGGGGCCAUAGCAGAAGGAGUGCUUUCCUGCCUGCAGGAGGAGACGUUGGGGCAGAGUUUUAAAGGGGAAGGAAGGAAGAACAUUCCAGGUAGAUCACUCUAAAUCGUACAAAGGAAUUGGCCCUCACAAUCACAGUGAGACAGAGCAGAGGUUCUCAUCUGGAUUGUGUCCAUGAGGAAACGGACUGAUCAGAAAAGGCCAUGGGGCCCCCAAGCCUCUACAGACAAUUUGGCUGAAGCCUGGAGAGGAUGAGGCCUUGACUCCGAGGCCUCCUGUUCGGGCCUGAGCCCUCCCGGCCCCAGCCUUUCCCUGGGGAGAAGAGCAGGCACCACAAGGACUGCCUGGUGGGAGAUCCAGGCAGGCCCCAUGCAGAGACCUACAAGGCCAGACUCCCCAACCCAGGAGGCCUGAUGACCCCCGGGCACCAGGCCCGAGGACCCCAGAAUGGACAGACGUCAUGACAUUGGGGCAUCCUCUGGGGCUUGACCCCCGCAGACGCGCGCCCUGCUUUGGCUGGUUGUGGGACCGCCAGAUUGCCCAGGAGGAGAAGGAGUCUCUGAGGGGAAGGUCUCCACCCCCAUCGUGGUACACCGGGGGCUCAGUCUUAGAGCUCGCCCACGUGCUGGGUGUCAGUUACACACAGGAUGUCCAGCAGGACAGCAGCCCACAAGGCCCAGCGCCGCUCUGCAUGGGAACGAGACAGGCUCAGAGGCGGCGUAGUCAGUGCAAAGUCGCCCAAAUGGGAGCUGACAGCCAGGGCUGAAGCCAGGCCAGUGUGAAGCCAACGCUCCUGCCCACCCUCCCCCACACCCCAGGCCUCAAAAAACGGGAGGAGGAACUGAUUCCUGCUCCUCGCGGAGCAGAAUCCCUCCCACCAGCCCCACGCCAAGGCCGUGCUUCUGUCCAGACCGGCUGCUAAGGGGGGAGCACGAGAGGGAAGAGAGAGCUCACUGGCCUUAUCGCUCAACAGACUGACAUCAGCGGCCCUAUGGGUCAACAGAUGUGACGAGGUCAGGGGGCUCCUCGCCUCUCACCUCAGCUUUGCCCGCCUGGGCCCCUCUGUGUGUCUUCCAGAGGCCAGGAAACUCAACCCCCUCCUUGCCAUCUUCUGCCAGGGCUGGGGAGGGGCCCGCUGAGCUCACGCACAGGCAACCCCAGCCCUGGAAAACCAUCUUCUGCCUUCCGGCCACCUGGCCUCCCCCAAGAGCCACAAGAGACCAGAAGGAGGCCUGAGGCUCGUCUGGAGGCCCAGUGCCUUUCUGCACAGCCCUUGAGAGUCCCAGAGCAAUGCCCUCCUGACCCCAGGGAGUCCCCAGCCAAGCACGGGAUGCGGGCUGGCGCUGCAUUAGGCUGGUCCACGUUCAAGAUCCAAUUAUCACACUCAUUUUUCAGAUGGAGAAAUUCAGGUGGAGAGAUGCAGUUUCAUGCCUGCAAGUUUUGCAGAUUCUUGGUGGUCAGAGACAGGGAGAGUCGUGGUCAGGGGGCGAGUUACACAGGUCUGAAAACCAGCUGGUCCACGUCCCGGCUUGCUCACAAGCAUCAUUGCCACCCACCGAGCCUUGCUGGACUCAGAUCUUUUAUGCAGAUGAGGACAGUAAGCCCAGAGGGGUUUAGUAACCUUCCAAGGGCUGCACAGUGGGACCAGCAGAGUGAGAUUCAAACCCACUCCCUCGGGCCUCGGCCUGCACGCUCCUCCAUGCCCCACCGGCUGGCCGGGUCAAAAACUCUCAUUUCACCCAACCUGUGGGUGGGGAGGUUGACUCUUGUCCAGAGGACUUCCUUCCUUGGUGCUAAUGGGUAAAGUGAGGCACAGACUAAUUACCUCUUUUUGCAAGCUCCAAGGAAAAGGGGCGCUCCCAGCACGUUGCGCAUCUCCUAACUACCCACUGUCUCCUUCCUCACCUUGUGGAAUCACGACAAGGAUCCCAUGUGGAGGGUGCUCGUCCCCUUUCUACAGAGGGGAAAACUGAGGCCAGUGAAGUUAUCUGGCCCUGGUCGCAAUGCUAGGUGAAUGGCAGAGCCAGACAUCCAGGCCCCGGCUAGCUCACAAACUGUGUGACUUCGGCCGUGUCAUCACAGCCCCAUCAGCCUCAGCGUGGCCAGGCAGUUCAUGCUGUGAGCCUGGAACCCGAUGCCCAGUGCAGACCCCAGCCCUGCUGCCACCAGCUGUGCGACCUGGCCAGGUUGCAGGGUGCCCAUCUGUGAAAUGGGGUGCCGACUGUGACUGCUUCCCAGGCUCUUAUGGGAGAAUACGUGUCAGGCGCUCAGGACGGGACGGCACACAGAAUAUGCUCAGUACACGUCAGCCUCUGCUGUGACUGUUACUUCCCUGGUAAUGUUGACUGAACGGAACUUUGCAAGUCUGAAACCUCAUAGCUCAGCGGUUCUCCAUCUCCAGAGCAUCAAUGCCACCUGGAGGGCCGGCCCCAACCCCGUCCCUGAUUCAGCAGAUCUAGGGUGUAGCCCAAGGAUCUGCAUUUGUAAAAGUUCCCAAGGGAGGCUGAGGGCGCUGGUCCGGGGUCCACAAUUUGAGGACACAGUGUAGAGAUUGAAACUUAAAAAUUCACAACAAGCCCCAUCCGCCGGAGUGAAAACUGGCUGCUGGGCCCAGGGGAGACGGCUUUGGGGAGAUGCCCGUGGGCCCGGAAGCGGGAGGCAGAGUUAAGUCCGUAAUUGUCCCUAAUGGUUGUGCUGUAUUAAUUAUGCUUUAAUUGCU
ensembl:lncRNA